UCUCACCCCUUUGUGCACAACCGCGUGAGUUCCCCUGGAAGGGGGGGCCCACGUUUUUUUUCACACAAACCUUAAAGCAGUGUAGAAUGUAUUUUCUUUUUGCGGUGAUACGCGAUCAAUACAACUUUCAACAACGGAUCUCUUGGCUCUCGCAUCGAUGAAGAACGUAGCGAAAUGCGAUAUGUAAUGUGAAUUGCAGAAUUCAGUGAAUCAUCGAAUCUUUGAACGCACCUUGCGCCCCUUGGCAUUCCGAGGGGCACACCCGUUUGAGUGUCGUGAAAUCAUCAAAACCCUUUCUUUGAUCCUUUUGGUCGAGAAUGGGAUUUUGGACUUGGAGGAUCAAUGCUCGCUCUCACUUUCUCGAAAGUGAGCUCCUCUCAAAUAAAUUAGUGGGGGUUUGCUUCGCCGAUCCUUGACGUGAUAAGUUGUUUCUACGUUUUGGAUUUGGUUGAACACCUGCUUCUAACCGUCCUAUGGACGACGAUGGUGUUCCGGUCACCUGGACCCAUAAGAAAACCUUGACCUCAAAUCGGGUGAGACUACCCGCUGA
rnacentral:rRNA from 1 species